rnacentral:sRNA from 1 species
UGGAAGGUAGUAAUGGUCAUACAUAGAUGUGAAUGUACUUGAUGGUUAAAAAAAAUGGUAAAAUUUAGUUUAUGUAUACAUUUUUACCUUUGUGUGUGUGUGUGUGUGUGUGUGUGUGAUGGGAAUUGAACCCUGGGCCUUACACAUGCUAAGCACACGCACUACCACCAAGCUACACUAUACCUCCAA